GGGGGCGACCAGGUAUCGACCGGGUUACCAGAGGACCAGGUGGCGUGACGUGGUUGAUCGGCUGGCCACGUAAAAAGUCGAUCGAACGAUAACUGCCAACACGCAGUUCUCCAUGGCUGCCUGAUAAAACGGGCAACCCUGAGACCAUGAGCUUCUCCUGAGAGCCCAUGGAAUCAGUCACCAAUUCGGGAUCGCUGCGGCCAGCGCCGGUGGAGGCCGCGGCUAAAACCACUAUCGGAUAGCGUCCGGGCCCCUGCCUGUCGGGCACCCCGGUGGCGAACCAACAAAGGCGGGCUACUCACGUAGAGGCUUGAUCCGAAGUGCCACGGGACCGGGGUUCGAUUCCCCGCGCCUCCACAA
rnacentral:tmRNA from 1 species